CCUACGGGAGGCAGCAGUAGGGAAUAUUGCUCAAUGGGGGAAACUCUGACGCAGCAACGCUGCGUGGAGGAUGAAGGUUUUCGGAUUGUAAACUCCUUUUGUUAGAGAAGAUAAUGACGGUAUCUUACGAAUAAGCACCGGCUAACUCAGUGCCAGCAGCCGCGGUAAUACGGAGGGUGCAAGCGUUAAUCGGAAUCACUGGGCGUAAAGAGGGCGUAGGCGGGAUAGCAAGUCAGAUGUGAAAUCCUAUGGCUUAACCAAAGAACUGCAACUGAAACUUUUAUUCUAGAGUAUUGGAGAGGUAGGUGGAAUUCUUGGUGUAGGGGUAAAAUGCGUAGAGAUCAAGAGGAAUACGCAUUGCGAAGGCGACUUGCUGGAACGUAACUGACGCUGAUGCGCGAAAGCGUGGGGAGCAAACAGGAUUAGAUACCCCUGUAGUC
rnacentral:rRNA from 1 species